rnacentral:tmRNA from 1 species
GGGGUCGUCCAUGGUUUCGACAGAAAUAAACAGGAUUAGAAUUGCAAGUCGAACGUCCACGUUAAGGACACAAAAUAAUAACUGGAAACAGUAAUAGAACAGCUGUAGCAUUUGCUUAAUUUAGCAAGCACAGGUUUCUCUAUUUCUUUGCUUACGAGAAAUAACAGAAACUUAUAAAGUAAGCUAUACUAUAUAGUAUCCUAGCCUAUAUAAAGAAUUUCAUAGGAUAGUAAAUAUUAGCACUUGUUAGUUUUGAUAAUAUUUAUGAAACUAAAAAACUAACUAAACUUGUAGAUAUUCAAAUUACUAUAUUUUUGGACAGGGGUUCGAUUCCCCUCGACUCCACCA